UUUUAGCCCAUAUUAGUUCACACUGCAGUCGACACCAACCAUUCAAACUUCAAUGUAUCUCCCCGUGACCCCUAUAUAAAUAACUCUCCAAGUUUAUCAUUCCAACACCCACCCCUCCCAACUCCCAUACAUCUCUCUCUCUCUCUCCUCCUAGCUCACACACCAACUCUACGUAUUUGCAACAAAACAAAAUUCUACAAUAUAUAUAGUUAUAUACAAUAAUGUCCAAAUUCACAACUCUUCUUAUAAUAACUAUGCUAGUUUGCUUCGCAAGUACUGAGACUUGUGCAGCUCGUUCUAUACCAGCUUUUCAUCAUGAGGAUAUUGAUUUUGAGAAUUUGAAGGUCGAUGAUAAUGAGAGUUGUCAAGGAGUAAAUGAAGAGGAGUGUUUGAUGAGGAGGACACUUGUGGCUCAUACUGAUUAUAUCUAUACUCAACAUCAAAAUCCUUAAAAUUAUAAUUAGUUUUGCUUAUUACUACUAUAUGAGUUUAGCCUUAUCUUAUAUAAGUAUAAAGGAUGCUCUGUAAAUUUGAUUUAGUAGUAGAAUAUGAUUUUAAAUUUUGCAAAGGUUUUCUUUGGCCUAAUAGUACAUGAUUUUUAUUAGUCGUGUGUGGUAUGUAAGAUUUUAAUCUGAUCGAUCAAUUAAUAUCUUGGUGUGACCUUAUUUAAUAGCCUCAUAAUAUAUAUAUAUAUAUAUAUAUAUAUAUAUAUAUAUAUAUAUAUGUGCCCACAAAAUUAAUGAUUUUCAUGACCUAUAUGUUGAUUGUUGAACAUUUUGUGUAUAUAUUUGACCAAUUUUUUGUCCUCUUAACAAUAAAAGUCAUUUUUCUUUUAAUUUAUAUGAGCCACGAAAGCAGUACAAAGUAUAAAGAAGAGGAUGGGGGAUUCGAACCUGUAACCUAUCAUUCGCAACACCUUAAUCUUAACUAUUAGGUCAAGACAUCCUUAAUUGAUAUAUACAAUAAAAGUUAAUUUUGAUAAACGAGAUAUGUAUACAAAAAGAUGGUUCAUAUCAAUAUACAUAUCACUCUGUAAUCUUUAUUAUAAAUUGAAAGUCAAUUAAAAUUCAUGCACUCUCACAAAUAGAAUUCAAAUCUUUUGUUCCACAUUUUAUGUACCAUUUGGAUACUAUCCAUUUUCAUUGGUUGAUUAUAAUGUGUUUUAGAUUAUAGGCCUUUCUAAUAUAACCAACCAAUAGUAAAGUGGCAAAUAAAUAGUGCUCAAAAGAUUUUACUAUUAGUAGGUAGUUUAGCUAUUAAAAAUGGGUAAUUAUAAUAAUAGAUUUAGUGUUAAUUUGAAUUCUACUUAGUUUUAGUGUCUUUUUUCGAAUUCUUAUGAGUAAAAUAAUCUUUUUAAUUGAUUUGUUUAUUAGUGUGUAUUUAGUUAAUUUCACACUUCUUUAAAAAAAAAAAGUUAAUUUCGCAUCUCGAACGACCUGGCACAUGAUAUUACAACAUUAGAAAUGCAAGAAAGCACUGGCUAAACAUUGUAAUCAUCCAUAUAACUAUAUAAGGGGAGAAGCUCAUCAUAGUUAACUGCUGAUUCUUUGGCUAAACAAGACCUUCAUCGAAAUUCAGAAUUUCUCGCUUGAGUGCAGGCUUCUUCCAAAAGUCUAGAUCAUUUUUCCAUGCAUCUCAUAGAAAUGCAAUUCCUCUAGCAUGACUUUUGGUGUAACGGCCAUCAUUUUGGUCUGUUUCCUCGUGUCUUGAGAAAGUGAAACAACAUGUACUUUUGACUUUUAAUAGUCACAGAAACUGAAAACUGAAAAUCUCCUAAGAUUAUCAACAAAAUAAAAUGACAUAAUGGAAAGAUACCAUAUGAAGAAACAAUAGAGUCGAUUAAGCCACCAACACAUAUUUAGAUCAACUGGUAAGGGAGUUGUUCUAGCUUAACUAGAGGUCUCGGGUUCGAGCCUUGGAAACGCAACAGAGUGUGUUGGGAGAGCUUUCCCCCCAAUUGGGGUCUGACCCGGCUCGAAUCCGGAUUAGUCGGGAUCUAAAAAUAAAUUUCGAAAACCGGAUAUGUUCAAAUAAAAAAAAAGUUCAAUCAAGCCUCCAGAGAGAGUGGUAAAAGAACAAUAUGAGGUAAUCUAUUAUCUAUAUGGCAAAUACCCUUGAUGAACUCUCCUACCCUAAUUAAUGGUCCAACUAAACUUAUCUUCUAACAAAAGGUGUGUGUAUAAUGGUCCUUCAAGAAUGACUGCAUCUCUUUGAUUUAAAUCAUUAAAUGCCUUGUUUUGAAGGUUGCGAGCAUGGGCCAAACUUGACAAAUGACAAUAGCUUUCCACAACGCAUGGAACAGGACCAGUCUGGGGAGCUUUUAUUACACGUACAAUUCGUAGCUUAGGUAACAAACUUGGUUAGAAGAAAAUCUCUUCGACAGUUGUGCAGUUGAAAGAUUUUCCAAGAACAACUAUCAUUCUUAUUUACACAACGUAUAUGUUACGAGUUCACUCAUAGUACACCCGGGUGUACCAUGAGCAUGAUACAUCCAGAGUGACAUUCGGGUCAUCAUCGUCAAGUCGUCAGUCGUGGUGGUUCCAAUUUUUUUUCAGGUAGUCUUCAUUCUUUUUCAGGUAGUCUUCAUUUUUUUCAGGUAGUCUUCAUUUUGUUUCAGUUAGUCUUUUUUUUUCAGUUAGUCUUCUUUUUUUUCAGUUGGUUUUUGUGCUUCAGUUAGACUUACAUGGGUUUCAGUUGGUCUUUAUUCUUUUUCAGGUAGUCUUCAUUUUUUUUCAGGUAGUCUUCAUUUUGUUUCAGUUAGUCUUUUUUUUUUCAGUUAGUCUUUUUUUUUUUCAGUUAGUUUUUGUGCUUCAGUUAGACUUACUUGGGUUUCAGUUGGUCUUUAUUCUUUUUCAGGUAGUCUUCAUUUUUCUUCAGGUAGUCUUCAUUUUGUUUCAGUUAGUCCAACUGAAAGUAAACAAAGUCCAACUGAAAGAAAACAAAGUCCAACUGAAAGAACACAAAGUCCAACUGAAAGAAAACAAAGUCCAACUGAAACAAAACAAAGUCCAACUGAAAAACAAAACACUAACCUCCGCUUUCUCUCACUUUCUCCUUCUUCUUCAUUCCUCUUAGCUAGUUUUUGAUUCUGGUUGUAGUGAGGAUUGCAAAACAGAUGUUGAAUAUUCUUCUAGUGAGGAUUGCAAAACAAAUGUUGAAUACGAAUAUCGAAACCUCCAUGGCUUCCCUGUCCAAUCUUCAAAAUUAAGAAGCAAACCUUUCUCAUUAUUACUCGAAUCCAAAGGAAAAUACUUCUCCGCAUGCUGCUUUGGUAUUACCAAUUGAUUCAACUUCCCUACGUCACUUGGUGUCACCACUUUAUCAAACAUAUGCUCUCUUUCUAUUACAAUUUUAUCGUCCUCUUCAUCAUCCACAUGAACUUUCAUUUUUGUCGCCGUCGUCGUUGUCGCCGAUGAAUGAUUGAACAAAUCCUUGAAGAUUGAUUAUGGCAGAUUUAAAGGAUUAUAUGAAAAUCCAGAGAAGAAGAAGAAAGAGGAGAGAGAAUGUGACCUAAAAAGUGAAGUAGAGAGAAGAUGUAUUGGGCUCAGCCCGUCUGACAGUAAACAAUACGUCAGACGGUCUGACCCAAUACUUUCACAUAAAUAAAACACCAUAAUCUAAGUAAAGAUCCCCUUCCUAGUAUGGUCCCAUGCACAUCCAAAAUUCACCUGGAAAAGUGCUUACCAAAAUGGUAAAUAUGGCAAAGCCAAAUAAGAAAAAAGAAAUACGUGUCAGUAUAAAACUGAGUAAGAAAUAUAUUAGAUAAGUAACACAUUUGUUAGUUCACAACAUUUUUCAUUUUGAAAACUCCAUCACUAAUAAUUCAAGAAUAAACUAUUUUAUAUUAUUUUCAAGAAUAAACUAUUUUCAAACACUUUAAGAAUAAACUAUUCAAGAAUAAACUCUUUAAGAAUAAACUAUUUUCAAACACUUUAACUAGAAUUCAAGAAUAACCUUUUAAGAACAAACUCUUUCCAAACACUUGAAUAAUAGUUCAAGAAUGACCUUUUAAGAACAAACUCUUUCCAAAUAACUUGGAUUAAAAAUAAUCUUGAAAACAAUUCCUCUUCUUAUCUCCCCUUCUAUUUUGUUAAGUGUGCAUACACUCCAAGAGUCCAAGGUGUCAUCCCAUCACAAAUCUAUAUCAAGGGGUAACCAUAAUGCCAACAAGUAGACUUUGAAGCAUGUACCCUUCUUGAUGUUAAUCAAGUGGUAAUAAUAAUAUGACUUGUAAGUCAUCAUGAAUAAAUCUCCUUUUCUCAUAAACAACUUUUUGAGCAUUCAAAAUUCAUAAAACCAAUCAAACAUUACCAAAGGGAGCUAGCAGUAAAGAAGAUGAACAAAAUACACAAGGAUUUACGUGGUAGUCCAAAGGUGGAGGAUUCAGGAGCUUUUCAGUAAUCUUCAAUGGAGAAACUUAGAGGAUUACAAGGAGUCUUACAAAGGUUUAGAGGUUUUAACCACCCAAUAAUAGGGUCCUUUUAUAGGACAUUCAGAACCCUAAUGACCCCAAGAACACCCUAAAUUUAUAUGAGCAAUAGCCGUCAAUUAAUUUAAGAAAUAUCUCAAAAAUAGAAAAAUUGCCAAAAAUCACGAAAAUUGAAAUCAUUGUUCUUGCUUUCCCGGGCAACACACCAAAAAUGAGGCAGUGAGUGUGGAAUAUGAGCCAAACCCCCGAGAGAUUCCAAAUCUUCUUUUUCGUCGAUUUCAAGGCAACACUUACAUGAUCCUUUCAAUUUAUGCACAUGUAACAAGAAGUUGUUAAAUAUUGAACAUAUACUAAAUCACUAUUUAUAAAAAAAUGAUAUUAGCAGUUGUAACUGUGGCCAGUUCGUUUUAAAAAGGUCUCAACUUUUAAUUAUCUCAUAAUAAUUCUAACUUUAUUUGGGAGUUCUCUUCUCAUAACAAACCUUCAACUUAAGGAAUUUGCUAAAUCAAUUAAAUUAAACACAUGAACUCAUCCAUCAACACUUUUUUAGAUAAACUAAAGUCAAUGAAAGAGUUUGUUCAUCAUAAUUAAUCGAUUUAGUAAUUAGUUAAUUAAGUCAGAGACCAUUUUGGGAAGGGCACCUUUAAAGUCGGGACCACUGUUACAUGUAUAAUAAACAAAAAUUAAGACCUUUUAAAGUGAACCGACCAAGGCUAAGAUCAAUAAUGUCAAUUAUUCCUACUAAUUAAUAUUGACAAGUAUAAUGCAUUUUAACAUAAAAUGACAAAACCUAAAAGACAGUGGUGCUAAUUAUUAAACUUAUUUUAAUACUUACUCCAUAACAAAAUAGAUGAUAAAUUUUAAAAAUUGCACUAUUCACCUACUACAUUUAGUAGUUAUUAUAUGAUAUUUUGUUAGAUUCGUAUCAAUAUACUUAAUAUUAACUUCUUAUAAUUUUCAGUGAUACACAAUUAAAGUUAUUAAUGUCAAAGUACAAUAUUGACAAGCAUGAAAGUCAAAGUGUAACAUGUAUUUUAUUACGUAUGAAGUAUAUAUGGAAUUAGAAAGUUUUGUUACUUGGUUAUAUAGAUAUAUUAUUAUUAGAAAGUUUCGAAUCAAACAAGGUCUCAUAUGAUUAUAUAUUUUCUUACCCAUUAAUCACAAAUGAUAGGUAGACAUCUAUACUAUAUAUUAAAAGGCGUACCUAUCAAAGGAACGGUGACAUGUGAUACUAUUCACUAUAUAUGCGCCACAUAGCUUCGCCACGUCAUCUUAUAUGCCAUGUAGAUCGUUACAUAACGUUACAAAAUAAAUAUUGCUUUUACUAGAUUUGAACAUGCGACCUCUUGCAAAGAGAAGAUUGUCCUUACCAUCUCAACCAACUUUUUUUAGUGCUUCAUAAAUCCACAUAAUGUUAUUUAUUCAUUGCAAACAUAAAGUAAAUUAAAUGUUAGAUUCUUUUUUAAAUUAAUUUUUACAAAAAUGUUAAAAAUACAUAUCAAUUGUGAAGAAUAAAAAAAUAACACCGGAGCAACGCCCAGGUCAAAUCACUAGUAUAUAUAUAUAAAUAGUGUCGAAACUCAAAGGAUAACCAUGUGGUUUAUUGACUAUGGUUACAGCUAUAUUUUGGGAACAAAGCCCAAGUAUACAGAGCCAUAAAAUGGGUAACUCCCCAACCAAACUACUCAAAAACGGAGGCCCGGUGAUGAUGCCAAGAGAAGAAAUAAAAAAUCAAGAAUAAAACCUAUGUAAUACUACUUCUUGUUAAUCAGAGAAUUCAGAAGUAGUUGAACAUAAGAACGCAGUGCAUAGAUCAACAUUAUGUUUUAUCGAGGAAGGUUGCCGUCGCUUCCUUUAGUUGUUGGUGCUGUCCUGAUUGGCGUCAUCUCUGGUAAGGCAUUAUUUGGACCCCCAUUGGAGGAGUAUUGGAAGAAAAGGCUUGAGGAGGAAGCAGCGACCAAAGAGAGUGAUGCAAAACCGCAAUAGCAAAUGCUAGCCAAAGGCUUGAGGAGGAAGCAGCGGCCAAAGAGAGUGAUGCGAAAUCGCAAUAGCCAAUGGUAGCCAAUAUCUUUUGUUUUAUCAGUUCUGCAGUGGGACAAUGGCAGCGUUUUGCUGAUUGUUGUAGGUUAAGGUUUUAAUAAUUCAACCUUCCCCUGAUUCAUGAAUUUUUGUGUGGUGUUCAUUCCGUAGCACAAGUUCAAUUAGUUUAGUAUCACAGUAUCAGCAUUGUCAGUGGUGGAAUAUUGGCCUUUCUAGUUUGCGCCAAUAUGUAAUUGUUGUUACAGAAAAAAAAAGAGAUUCGACAGUGUUUCUUGUUUA